CACGCCGUAAACGAUGGAUACUAGGUGUAGGGGGUAUCGACCCCCCCUGUGCCGGAGUUAACGCAAUAAGUAUCCCGCCUGGGGAGUACGGCCGCAAGGCUAAAACUCAAAGGAAUUGACGGGGGCCCGCACAAGCAGCGGAGCAUGUGGUUUAAUUCGAAGCAACGCGAAGAACCUUACCAGGGCUUGACAUCCCCCUGACCGGUACAGAGAUGUACCUUUUCUUCGGAACAGGGGAGACAGGUGG
rnacentral:rRNA from 1 species